UUCGAGUUCGCCGGAGAGGGAGGAGAGAUGGCCAGGAAGGGCGGAGAGAGGAAGAAGGCGGUGACCCGGUCCACCAAGGCCGGCCUCCAGUUCCCCGUCGGCCGCAUCGGGCGCUUCCUCAAGAAGGGCCGCUACGCGCAGCGCGUCGGCUCCGGCGCCCCCGUCUACCUCGCCGCCGUCCUCGAGUACCUCGCCGCCGAGGUAACCAACCAACCGAUCUCGUCCUCCGUUCCUGCUCUGUUCUUUCUCCCCUUCGACGGAGGGCUGACAGAUCUUGUCUCCGUUCUUUGGAUGGAUUCGCAGGUGCUGGAGCUCGCCGGCAACGCCGCCAAGGACAACAAGAAGACCCGCAUCGUGCCGCGCCACCUGCUCCUCGCCAUCCGCAACGACCAGGAGCUCGGCAAGCUGCUCGCCGGCGUCACCAUCGCGCACGGCGGCGUGCUCCCCAACAUCAACCCCGUGCUGCUCCCCAAGAAGGCCCUCGAGAAGGCCGAGAAGGAGUCCCAGUCGCCCAAGUCGCCCAAGAGGAAGGCCCCCGCUCCCGCCCCCGCCGCCAAGAAGACCCCCAAGAAGAAGGCCGCCGACAAGAAGACCGCCGCCGCUGACAAGAAGAAGGCCGCCGCCGACGCCGAGGAGGAGGCCGCCGCCGACGAGUAGAAAGGGCCAAGUUGCGUCGCGUAGUUCUGCAUCUGAGAUGGGAGAGAAAGAGAGAGAUCAUGUGAUCCUGUAUGUAAUGCCUGGUCUUGAGUCCGAACUGGUAGUAGUCUGUAGCGUCGAUUGAUCUUGAAUCACUGCUGAAAUGAAGCUGGAAACUUGAUCGUUUAGCCAAUUCCAAUCUUCUCCGUGUCAAUCUCUCG
rnacentral:lncRNA from 1 species